rnacentral:rRNA from 1 species
GACGAACGCUGGCGGCGUGCUUAACACAUGCAAGUCGAACGGAAAGGCCCUGCUUUUGUGGGGUGCUCGAGUGGCGAACGGGUGAGUAACACGUGAGUAACCUGCCCUUGACUUUGGGAUAACUUCAGGAAACUGGGGCUAAUACCGGAUAGGAGCUCCUGCUGCAUGGUGGGGGUUGGAAAGUUUCGGCGGUUGGGGAUGGACUCGCGGCUUAUCAGCUUGUUGGUUGGGUAGUGGCUUACCAAGGCUUUGACGGGUAGCCGGCCUGAGAGGGUGACCGGCGACAAUGGGACUGAGAGACGGCCCAGACUCCUACGGGAGGCAGCAGUGGGGAAUAUUGCACAAUGGGCGGAAGCCUGAUGCAGCGACGCCGCGUGCGGGAUGACGGCCUUCGGGUUGUAAACCGCUUUCGCCUGUGACGAAGCGUGAGUGACGGUAAUGGGUAAAGAAGCACCGGCUAACUACGUG